rnacentral:rRNA from 1 species
UACAGAGGGGGCAAGCGUUGUUCGGAAUUACUGGGCGUAAAGCGCGCGUAGGCGGACCUGCAAGUCGGGGGUGAAAGCCCGAGGCUCAACCUCGGAACUGCCUUCGAUACUGCGGGUCUCGAGUCCGGGAGAGGUGAGUGGAAUUCCUAGUGUAGAGGUGAAAUUCGUAGAUAUUAGGAAGAACACCAGUGGCGAAGGCGGCUCACUGGCCCGGUACUGACGCUGAGGUGCGAAAGCGUGGGGAGCAAACAGG